UACCAGCACCCCGAGUGGUCGGGACGAUUAUUGGGCCUAAAGCAUCCGUAGCCGGUUCUACAAGUCUUCCGUUAAAUCCACCUGCUUAACAGAUGGGCUGCGGAGGAUACUGUGGAGCUAGGAGGCGGGAGAGGCAAGCGGUACUUAGUGGGUAGGGGUAAAAUCCGUUGAUCCAUUGAAGACCACCAGUGGCGAAGGCGGCUUGCCAGAACGCACUCGACGGUGAGGGAUGAAAGCUGGGGGAGCAAACCGG
rnacentral:rRNA from 1 species